rnacentral:rRNA from 1 species
GAUGAACGCUGGCGGCGUGCCUAAUACAUGCAAGUCGAGCGAACGGACGAGAAGCUUGCUUUUCUGAUGUUAGCGGCGGACGGGUGAGUAACGCGUGGAUAACCUACCUAUAAGACUGGGAUAACUUCGGGAAACCGGAGCUAAUACCGGAUAAUAUUUUGAACCGCAUGGUUCAAAAGUGAAAGACGGUCUUGCUGUCACUUAUAGAUGGAUCCGCGCUGCAUUAGCUAGUUGGUAGGGUAACGGCUUACCAAGGCAACGAUGCAUAGCCGACCUGAGAGGGUGAUCGGCCACACUGGAACUGAGACACGGUCCAGACUCCUACGGGAGGCAGCAGUAGGGAAUCUUCCGCAAUGGGCGAAAGCCUGACGGAGCAACGCCGCGUGAGUGAUGAAGGUCUUCGGAUCGUAAAACUCUGUUAUUAGGGAAGAACAUAUGUGUAAGUAACUGUGCACAUCUUGACGGUACCUAAUCAGAAAGCCACGGCUAACUACGUG